AGUGAACGCUGGCGGUAUGCCUAACACAUGCAAGUCGAACGGCAGCUCAGUAAGUGCUUGCUCUUACGUGUGGCGCGUGGCGGACGGGUGCCUUAUACAUCGGAAUCUACUUUUUCGUGGGUGCUAACGUAGGGAAACUUACGCUAAUACCGCAUACGUCCUCCGUGUGUAAGCAGGCGAUCUUCUGACCUUGCGCGAUUGUAUGAGCCUAUGUCGGAUUAGCUAGUUGGCUGGGUAAAGGCCCACCAAGGCCACGAUCCGUAUCUGGUCUGAGAGGAUGGACAGACACACUGGAAGUGAGACAGGGUACAGACUCCUGGAGGGGGAAGCGGUGGGGAAUAUUGGACGAUGGGGGCGAGCGUGAUCCAGGAAUACGGCGUGAGUGAUGAAGGAGUUAGGGUUGGAGAGCCAUGAUGUUGGGAGAGAAGAGAAGCAGGUUAACACCCCACGGUAAUGACGGUACCCAAAGAAUAAGCACCGGCUAACUUCGUG
rnacentral:rRNA from 1 species